UAUCAAUAAGCGGAGGAAAAGAAACCAACAGGGAUUGCCUUAGUAACGGCGAGUGAAGCGGCAAAAGCUCAAAUUUGAAAUCUGGCACCUUCGGUGUCCGAGUUGUAAUUUGAAGAAGGUAACUUUGGGAUUGGCUCUUGUCUAAGUUCCUUGGAACAGGACGUCACAGAGGGUGAGAAUCCCGUGCGAUGAGAUGACCAAUCCUAUGUAAAGUGCUUUCGAAGAGUCGAGUUGUUUGGGAAUGCAGCUCUAAGUGGGUGGUAAAUUCCAUCUAAAGCUAAAUAUUGGCGAGAGACCGAUAGCGAACAAGUACAGUGAUGGAAAGAUGAAAAGAACUUUGAAAAGAGAGUGAAAAAGUACGUGAAAUUGUUGAAAGGGAAGGGCUUGAGAUCAGACUUGGUAUUUUGCAUUCCUUACCUUCGUGGUGGGGUUCCUUGCAGUUUACUGGGCCAGCAUCGGUUUGGAUGGUGGGAUAAUGACAUUGGAAUGUGGCUCUGCUUCGGUAGAGUGUUAUAGCCAGUGUUGAUACCGCCUGUCUAGACCGAGGACUGCGUCUUUGACUAGGAUGC
rnacentral:rRNA from 1 species